rnacentral:rRNA from 1 species
CCUACGGGAGGCAGCAGUGGGGAAUAUUGGGCAAUGGAGGCAACUCUGACCCAGCAACGCCGCGUGAAUGAUGAAGGUCUUCGGAUUGUAAAGUUCUUUUCUAAGGGAAGAAGAAAGUGACGGUACCUUAGGAAUAAGCCUCGGCUAACUACGUGCCAGCAGCCGCGGUAAUACGUAGGAGGCAAGCGUUAUCCGGAAUGACUGGGCGUAAAGGGUGCGUAGGUGGUUUGACAAGUUAGUAGCGAAACUCCGGAGCUCAACUUCGGAACUACUACUAAAACUGUUGGACUUGAGUGCAGUAGAGGUGGGCGGAAUGCGUGGUGUAGCGGUGAAAUGCUUAGAUAUCACGAAGAACUCCGAUUGCGAAGGCAGUUCACUGGACUGCAACUGACACUGAGGCUCGAAAGUGUGGGUAUCAAACAGGAUUAGAUACCCUUGUAGUC